AAGGGAAAAUAGGGCUGAGUGGAACUGGACAAAAAGCAUAAGGACGAUAUUGAUGCAGAGCAAGAAGCACAGCUGGCAGCAAAGCAGAGCAGAACAGGACAAGGUGGUGCGUGCCAUGCAAAUAUUUAGCUGGUUAAGUCAUUGGGGGAGGCAGUUUUUGGGCAAAUCAAAUUUUCUCUGUUUCCGGCUUCUUCCCCGUCUUCCACCAACUUCGCCGCGUCGUCGCAGGUGGAGGUCCAGCAAGGACCUUCCGUGAUAACGUGAUUAUCUCAGAUCCCUGUUCUGUUCCGUGAUAAGCAGGAUUGCAGAAUUAUUGAUGAAGGUGGGGGGUUGACCUGUCCGCCAGAUUCCGGUUGGAGGGAGAGGUGAGAACCGAGAAGCUGGAAAUAGUUUGAGAAAUGUGUCGGACGGAAGUCUUUAAUUGCACUUUUAGACAUAUUAUAGCUGGAAAUUUUAAAGGGG